rnacentral:lncRNA from 1 species
GAUUGCCCAGUUUGUAAAACAAUCUGUGUGCACCUUUUUCCUCAAUAGUUGUGCUUAUAAGGCAAGCUCGGACUUAAGACUUGGGUUGUGCCAGUCAGACUGCCUGAACAGAAGAAACAACAUGAAGUUCACCAAGAUGUGGAAGCCACGGUGAAAAGAGGUCCUGAACAAGCCUGAACUUCUCUGCAGCCAUAAAGAGGUGUAAUACAACAGGUAGAUGUGUCUGAACUAAAGAAAGUACCUUGGAUAUUGUACUGGAGUAACAGCCAUGUGAACUUCAAUUUGCAGUUGUUACUCAGUAAUUGGAAGAAGCAUUAAGGGGACAGUCCUGGUUGUAGCUGGUAAAGACACAAGGAAGUUCCAAAGGCGUCAUUAUGGAUGUGGAACCCAGCGUGCUCCGUCCUGCAAGAUCUCAGCAUCAUUUUCGUUUCACCUCCUGCCUGAGUGGCACAGAUUUUACAGAAAGGGUACCCCAGUGAUUUGAAUGAGUUAAAAUAGCUGAAUGAAGCUGAACAAGGGCAGAAGGAAAAUAGGAAGGAAUUGGCAAGACAGA